rnacentral:rRNA from 1 species
AGAGUUUGAUCCUGGCUCAGGAUGAACGCUAGCGGCAGGCUUAAUACAUGCAAGUCGAGGGGCAGCAUAGUGUAGCAAUACAUGGGUGGCGACCGGCAAACGGGUGCGGAACACGUACAGAACCUUCCUUCGAGCGGGGAAUAGCCCAGAGAAAUUUGGAUUAAUACCCCAUAGGAUAGUGGAGUGGCAUCACUCAGCUAUUAAAGAUUUAUCACUUGAAGAUGGCUGUGCGUCUGAUUAGGUAGUUGGUGGGGUAACGGCCCACCAAGCCAGCGAUCAGUAACUGGUGUGAGAGCACGACCAGUCACACGGGCACUGAGACACGGGCCCGACUCCUACGGGAGGCAGCAGUAAGGAAUAUUGGUCAAUGGACGCAAGUCUGAACCAGCCAUGCCGCGUGGAGGAUGAAGGUCCUCUGGAUUGUAAACUUCUUUUAUCUGGGACGAAAAAGGGCCUUUCUAGGUCAACUGACGGUACCAGAUGAAUAAGCACCGGCUAACUCCGUGCCAGCAGCCGCGGUAAUACGGAGGGUGCAAGCGUUAUCCGGAUUCACUGGGUUUAAAGGGUGCGUAGGCGGGCAUGUAAGUCCGUGGUGAAAUCUCCGAGCUUAACUCGGAAACUGCCAUGGAUACUAUGUGUCUUGAAUGUUGUGGAGGUGAGCGGAAUAUGUCAUGUAGCGGUGAAAUGCU